UACGUAGGGUGCGAGCGUUGUCCGGAAUUAUUGGGCGUAAAGGGCUCGUAGGCGGUCUGUCACGUCGAAAGUGAAAACUCAGGGCUCAACCCUGAGCCUGCUUCCGAUACGGGCAGACUAGAGGUAUGCAGGGGAGAAUGGAAUUCCCGGUGUAGAGGUGAAAUUCGUAGAUAUCGGGAGGAACACCAGUGGCGAAGGCGGCGAUCUGGGUCGAUACUGACGCUGAGGUGCGAAAGCGUGGGGAGCAAACAGG
rnacentral:rRNA from 1 species